UACGGAGGGAGCUAGCGUUGUUCGGAAUUACUGGGCGUAAAGCGCACGUAGGCGGCGAUGCAAGUCAGAGGUGAAAGCCCGGGGCUCAACCCCGUAACUGCCUUUGAAACUAGAUUGCUAGAAUCCUGGAGAGGUGAGUGGAAUUCCGAGUGUAGAGGUGAAAUUCGUAGAUAUUCGGAAGAACACCAGUGGCGAAGGCGACUCACUGGACAGGUCUUGACGCUGAGGUGCGAAAGCGUGGGGAGCAAACAGG
rnacentral:rRNA from 1 species